rnacentral:rRNA from 1 species
GACGAACGCUGGCGGCGUGCUUAACACAUGCAAGUCGAGCGAAGCGCCGCCUUCGGUGGGGUGUUCUAGCGGGGAACGGGUGAGUAACACGCGGGCGACCUGCCCUCAUCUCUGGGAUAACUCCGGGAGACCGGGGGUAACACCGGAUACGACCUCUACUGGCACCUGCGGAGGGGGAGAGUUUUUCGGCUGUGGAUGGGCUCGUGGCCUAUCAGCUAGUUGGUGGGGUAGUGGCUCACCAAGGCGACGACGGGUAGCCGGCCUGAGAGGGCGACCGGCCACACUGGGACUGAGACACGGCCCAGACUCCUACGGGAGGCAGCAGUGGGGAAUAUUGCGCAAUGGGCGGAAGCCUGACGCAGCGACGCCGCGUGAGGGACGAAGGCCUUCGGGUUGUAAACCUCUUUCAGCGGGGACGAAGCGAGAGUGACGGUACCUGCAAAAGAAGCACCGGCCAACUACGUG